rnacentral:rRNA from 1 species
AAAAACCCCACCCCGAAACUGCGAACGGCUCUCAUAUAGUCACAGCCCACCAGAAACACUCCACCACUCGGAUAACCGAAGCAAUCCCAGGGCCAAUACACGAACAAAACCUCAACCACGGAAGAGGAGUGACUAUUAGCAUGAAAACCAUAUAUCUCCGGAUAUAAUAGCGAGCAAUAAUAACCUCCCAUAUCGUAUGCCGUAAGAUAACGAUAGCCCUCCCAAGCCCCUGCCCUAUCAGCCCCCGAUGGUAGUAUAUGGGACUACCAUGGCAGUAACGG